UAAAAUACAUCGACAUUGUUGCUGGUUGCUGUUGCUUCAUGGUGACUUUUGUCGGAGAUUGGGUCAUCUUAAACCUCUCUUUUUUGGUUUAAGCGACUUAAAAUUUUUCUUUACGAUUCCGUGAACGUUUCUAAGAUUUUUAUUUUCUUAUACGUUUCAGGUUAUCGAUCAAUCAAUUAUAUUAGACGUGGCCGUCGCAUCGGAUCGCGUCCAUAAUAAGACUUUCGUU
rnacentral:misc_RNA from 1 species